rnacentral:rRNA from 1 species
UACGGGGGGAGCAAGCGUUGUUCGGAUUUACUGGGCGUAAAGCGUGCGCAGGCGGCUUUGCAAGACAGAUGUGAAAUCCCCGGGCUCAACCUGGGAACUGCAUUUGUGACUGCAUGGCUGGAGUGCGGCAGAGGGGGAUGGAAUUCCGCGUGUAGCAGUGAAAUGCGUAGAUAUGCGGAGGAACACCGAUGGCGAAGGCAAUCCCCUGGGCCUGCACUGACGCUCAUGCGCGAAAGCGUGGGUAGCAAACAGG